GACAGAGGUCUCGAGCGUUAGGCGGAAUCACUGGGCUUAAAGCGUGUGUAGGCGGAUCGUUAAGUACCUUGUGAAAUCCCACGGCUCAACCGUGGAACUGCUGGGUAUACUGGCGAUCUUGAGCCACCUAGGGGCGAGCGGAACAAGCGGUGGAGCGGUGAAAUGCGUAGAUAUCGCUUGGAACGCCAAUGGUGAAAACAGCUCGCUGGGGGUGUGCUGACGCUGAGACACGAAAGCCAGGGGAGCGAACGGG
rnacentral:rRNA from 1 species